AAGGGUGGCCUGUUUCAACCAAGACGUUUCAUUGUCUGAAGUGAGCGUGUUUAUUAAAAAAACAAGAUAGAUGUGUGUACCUGGAGGACUCAGAUUGAUCGUCAAGGGACCUGCGCUGAGACUCAAAUGAUUGUCUCUCAGCUGCUACAAGAAACAAACAAACUCAGUAUUUGCAGGAGAAUGAUAUGUAAAGAAGAACUAGAGGAAGUCAUUUAUUUUUUAUUUUUUAUAUAUUUUUUUUGAGAAAGUCAUUUAUUUGAACCUCUUGUGUUAGUAGUUGCAGGAGAAGGCAAACGUGGAUAUUGUGGCCUUGAGCUAUUCUGUUGAAUCUCAAUGAGCAGUGGAGAAACAGAAGGCGCAGCACGAGAGGCUGCUCUCUUUGUUGAAAGCUUUCCUUUGGUUAUGACAUAAACAGUGCAGAAAUCAGGCAACGAAAGGGAAGGAACAACUGCUUGUAAGAGCCGUCUGGUUCUACAGUCACCACUGAAGAAUCACCAUUUGCUUGGCUUGUCUCUGAAAAACAAAACACAAAUAACCCAUCAAGUUCCAAGAAAGGAAAGAAGACAGAAGAAGAAACAAAAAGGUUUUCUUACUAGAAGAGUUUGGGUUAGUAGAAGGGUUUGUUGAGACGGAGGAAGCACGAGGCUUGACAUGGACGAGAAGGAUGGUUUGGCCUUUCUGUAAUAAAUUAUCAACAGCCCAUUUCAGAGCAUUUUGGCUGCUCUUGUCUUUGUCUAUCGCCACAGCAACCAAACCAUCCGUGCCGAAUCCUCCAUCUUUAUCCUUCCUGUUCCUUGCCAUCCAAGUCUCUUUAAAGGACAAAAUAUAUUGCGUGUGUUUAUUAGGUUUCUUAGUUUGAUUCCUCUACAAGAUCCUCUCGUUUGUAAACUUUUUAGAAAGGAAAAAAAGGGUAUGAAGAAGA